rnacentral:rRNA from 1 species
GUUAGCUUCUGGCUCAGACGAACGCUGGCGGCGUGCCUAAUACAUGCAAGUCGAGCGAGCUGAAUUCAAAGAUCCCUUCGGGGUGAUUUGUUGGACGCUAGCGGCGGAUGGGUGAGUAACACGUGGGCAAUCUGCCCUAAAGACUGGGAUACCACUUGGAAACAGGUGCUAAUACCGGAUAACAACAUGAAUCGCAUGAUUCAAGUUUGAAAGGCGGCGCAAGCUGUCACUUUAGGAUGAGCCCGCGGCGCAUUAGCUAGUUGGUGGGGUAAAGGCCUACCAAGGCAAUGAUGCGUAGCCGAGUUGAGAGACUGAUCGGCCACAUUGGGACUGAGACACGGCCCAAACUCCUACGGGAGGCAGCAGUAGGGAAUCUUCCACAAUGGACGCAAGUCUGAUGGAGCAACGCCGCGUGAGUGAAGAAGGUCUUCGGAUCGUAAAGCUCUGUUGUUGGUGAAGAAGGAUAGAGGCAGUAACUGGUCUUUAUUUGACGGUAAUCAACCAGAAAGUCACGGCUAACUACGUGCCAGCAGCCGCGGUAAUACGUAGGUGGCAAGCGUUGUCCGGAUUUAUUGGGCGUAAAGCGAGCGCAGGCGGAAUGAUAAGUCUGAUGUGAAAGCCCACGGCUCAACCGUGGAACUGCAUCGGAAACUGUCAUUCUUGAGUGCAGAAGAGGAGAGUGGAACUCCAUGUGUAGCGGUGGAAUGCGUAGAUAUAUGGAAGAACACCAGUGGCGAAGGCGGCUCUCUGGUCUGCAACUGACGCUGAGGCUCGAAAGCAUGGGUAGCGAACAGGAUUAGAUACCCUGGUAGUCCAUGCCGUAAACGAUGAGCGCUAGGUGUUGGGGACUUUCCAGUCCUCAGUGCCGCAGCAAACGCAUUAAGCGCUCCGCCUGGGGAGUACGACCGCAAGGUUGAAACUCAAAGGAAUUGACGGGGGCCCGCACAAGCGGUGGAGCAUGUGGUUUAAUUCGAAGCAACGCGAAGAACCUUACCAGGUCUUGACAUCCUGCGCUACACCUAGAGAUAGGUGGUUCCCUUCGGGGACGCAGAGACAGGUGGUGCAUGGCUGUCGUCAGCUCGUGUCGUGAGAUGUUGGGUUAAGUCCCGCAACGAGCGCAACCCUUGUCUUUAGUUGCCAUCAUUAAGUUGGGCACUCUAAAGAGACUGCCGGUGACAAACCGGAGGAAGGUGGGGAUGACGUCAAGUCAUCAUGCCCCUUAUGACCUGGGCUACACACGUGCUACAAUGGGCAGUACA